GAUGAAGAACGUAGCGAAAUGCGAUACGUAAUGUGAAUUGCAGAAUUCAGUGAAUCAUCGAAUCUUUGAACGCAUAUUGCGCUCUUUGGUAUUCCGAAGAGCAUGCUUGUUUGAGUAUCAGUAAACACCUCAAAGCUUUUGGAUUUUUUAAUCGAAAAGCUUUGGACUUGAGCAAUCCCAACACCAAUCUUUUUGAGAUCGGUGGCGGGUUGCUUGAAAUGCAGGUGCAGCUGGACAUUCUCCUGAGCUAAAAGCAUAUUCAUUUAGUCCCGUCAAACGGAUUAUUACUUUUGCUGCAGCUAACAUAAAGGGAGUUUGACCGUAUUGGCUGACUGAUGCAGGAUUUCACAAGGGUCGGCAACGAUUCUUGUUAAACUCGAUCUCAAAUCAAGUAAGACUACCCGCUGAACUUAAGCAUAUCAAUGAGCGGAGGA
rnacentral:misc_RNA from 1 species